ACAACGACUACAUUAGAUACCCGUGUAGUCCUAGCCGUAAACGAUACUCGCUAGGUGUCGGCCACGGUGCGACCGUUGUCGGUGCCGUAGGGAAGCCGUGAAGCGAGCCACCUGGGAAGUACGGCCGCAAGGCUGAAACUUAAAGGAAUUGGCGGGGGAGCACAACAACGGGUGGAGCUUGCGGUUUAAUUGGAUUCAACGCCGAAAAUCUUACCGGGACCGACAGCAACAUGAAGGCCAAGCUGAAGACUUUGCCGGAUUAGCUG
rnacentral:rRNA from 1 species